CCUGAGAAACCCAAAAGAUCGAAUGGGGAGAUUCAUCGUCGACGAAGCUGGCUCCCGUUGGUGUGNGAUUCCUCCGAUGGGACUCUGUUCCAAAACGUGGGUACACCCCUUCGGCGAAUAACCCGGCGACGUAGACGUGCACUUCUCCCUUAGUAAAACGUCGCGACCCGUUGUGUGUCGGUCUACGGCCUGAGCUGUUGCCUGUCGUGAGCACCUACGUGUACUCGCGGCAGAGGCUCGGUCGCCCGGCCGGCUGCACGACGGUACUCUGACGGUAUCGGGCCGCAACCAAUCCAUUCUCGAAUGUAUGUGCGUCAGGCCCGCCGCAAGCUCGGACAGCACCCGGAGUGUGUGGACAUAGUGCCCUCCCCGGGUCUGACCAGCUGUUUGCAGGCGGUGUCCUCGGACUGGCCAAGCUUUGAAUUACCGGUCAGCGACGCUAUUGCUUUGGGUACUCUCAGGACCCGUCUUGAAACACGGACCAAGGAGUCUAACAUGUGCGCGAGUCAUUGGGACAUUUAAACCUAAAGGCGAAAUGAAAGUGAAAGUCGUCGUAAGCGUCGACCAAGGGAGGAUGGGCCGCUUACCUCGCGGCCUCGCACUCCCGGGGCGUCUCGUUCUCGUUGAGAAGAGGCGCACCCAGAGCGUACACGUU
rnacentral:rRNA from 1 species